rnacentral:rRNA from 1 species
UACGGGGGGGGCAAGCGUUGUUCGGAAUUACUGGGCGUAAAGGGCGCGUAGGCGGCCUGCUAAGUCGGAUGUGAAAUCCCUCGGCUCAACCGAGGAACUGCAUCCGAUACUGGCGGGCUUGAAUCCGGGAGAAGGAUGUGGAAUUCCAGGUGUAGCGGUGAAAUGCGUAGAUAUCUGGAGGAACACCGGUGGCGAAGGCGGCAUCCUGGACCGGUAUUGACGCUGAGGCGCGAAAGCUAGGGGAGCAAACGGG